rnacentral:tRNA from 2 species
GGACGAUUAGCUCAGUGGUAGAGCACUUCCUUCACACGGAAGGGGUCGUUGGUCCAACUCCAACAUCGUCUA